CCUCGGUCCUCAAGACCUAACGUCAAAAACGAUAACAGCACAGAUUUUAAGAGGGCUGUGCAAUUGCAAACGCACAGCUAUUAUCUCAUUUCAUGCUCCUAACAAUCCUAUGAGCCUUGUUCUGUAAAGGGGUCCAUGGCCUUCAGCAAUCUGCGGAAAGUGUUAGCUCAAAGAUUCCUGGAAUGCCUUGGGGAGCCUGCCUUGAUCUUACAUCCCUACUUUGGAAAUAGAAGCUGAGAUCGACCAGUUUGAUCUCCUUGCAGUCCAAGGGACUCUCAAGAGUCUUCUCCAGCACCACGUUUCAAAAGCAUCAAUUCUUGCAAUCAAUACCUUCAGUCAAAUAUAGUCAAGUUCAGUAGACAGUCUUGAAGGUCAUACUGUUUUAACUUGUAUGUGGUAACCAUGAUAAGAUUGAGAAACUAUUGUAGAUUAUAAUUUAGCAAGCUAAGAAACACCUGCAAUGUGAUUUUUCAUGCAAAUUAACCUUUCUUUUUCAUGUUAAACACAUACUAUUCCAGAGGGACAGGGCCCAGCUAUUAUAGCUAGAGCACAACCUCAGUGUGGGCUGGUACUCAGCAGGAGCACUGAUGGGGCUGUAAUGGUUACUGAAAUACUCCUAAACUGGUAGAUAAAAGCUAUGCCCUGAGCUCCCCAGAUUCAAUCGGCCCCACCCUGGCCACUUUGCUGUGACCUGCCAACUUUCCCACAAUUCAGCAAC